rnacentral:rRNA from 1 species
UACGUAGGGGGCUAGCGUUGUCCGGAUUUAUUGGGCGUAAAGAGCGUGUAGGCGGCCAUGCAGGUCAGCUGUGAAAACUCGAGGCUCAACCUCGAGACGUCGGUUGAAACCGUAUGGCUAGAGUCCGGAAGAGGAGAGUGGAAUUCCCGGUGUAGCGGUGAAAUGCGCAGAUAUCAGGGAGGAACACCGGUGGGCGAAGGCGGGUCUCUGGGCAGUAACUGA